AGUGAACGCUGGCGGUAGGCCUAACACAUGCAAGUCGAACGGCAGCACAGUAAGAGCUUGCUCUUACGGGUGGCGAGUGGCGGACGGGUGAGGAAUACAUCGGAAUCUACUUUUUCGUGGGGGAUAACGUAGGGAAACUUACGCUAAUACCGCAUACGACCUACGGGUGAAAGCAGGGGAUCUUCGGACCUUGCGCGAUUGAAUGAGCCGAUGUCGGAUUAGCUAGUUGGCGGGGUAAAGGCCCACCAAGGCGACGAUCCGUAGCUGGUCUGAGAGGAUGGUCAGCCACACUGGAACUGGGACACGGUCCAGACUCCUAAGGGAGGCAGCAGUGGGGAAUAUUGGACAAUGGGCGCAAGCCUGAUCCAGCCAUACCGCGUGGGUGAAGAAGGCCUUCGGGUUGUAAAGCCCUUUUGUUGGGAAAGAAAAGCAGCAGGUUAAUACCCCGCGGUUCUGACGGUACCCAAAGAAUAAGCACCGGCUAACUUCGUG
rnacentral:rRNA from 1 species